rnacentral:rRNA from 1 species
UACGUAGGGUGCGAACGUUGUCCGGAAUUAUUGGGCGUAAAGAGCUCGUAGGCGGUGCGUCGCGUCGGCCGUGAAAACCUGCAGCUUAACUGUGGGCGUGCGGUCGAUACGGGCAUCACUGGAGUUCGGCAGGGGAGACUGGAAUUCCUGGUGUAGCGGUGAAAUGCGCAGAUAUCAGGAGGAACACCGGUGGCGAAGGCGGGUCUCUGGGCCGAUACUGACGCUGAGGAGCGAAAGCGUGGGGAGCGAACAGG